CCUGGUUGAUCCUGCCAGUAGUCAUAUGCUUGUCUCAAAGAUUAAGCCAUGCAUGUCUAAGUUCAAGCAAAAAUAAUGUGAAACCGCGAAUGGCUCAUUAUAUCAGUUAUGGUUCCUUAGAUCGCACUUACUACUUGGAUAACUGUGGUAAUUCUAGAGCUAAUACAUGCGUUGGACUCCGAACUUUACGGUGAGGAGUGCUUUUAUUAGAUCAAAGCCAAUCGGGUCUUCGGAUUCGUUUAGUUGGUGACUCUGAAUAACUUUGCUGAUCGCACGGUCUUGCACCGGCGACGUAUCUUUCAAGUGUCUGCCUUAUCAACUGUCGAUGGUAGGUUAUGCGCCUACCAUGGUUGUAACGGGUAACGGGGAAUCAGGGUUCGAUUCCGGAGAGGGAGCCUGAGAAACGGCUACCACAUCCAAGGAAGGCAGCAGGCGCGCAAAUUACCCACUCCCGGCACGGGGAGGUAGUGACGAAAAAUAACGAUACGGAACUCAUACGAGGCUCCGUAAUCGGAAUGAGUACACUUUAAAUCCUUUAACGAGGAUCUAUUGGAGGGCAAGUCUGGUGCCAGCAGCCGCGGUAAUUCCAGCUCCAAUAGCGUAUAUUAAAGUUGUUGUGGUUAAAAAGCUCGUAGUUGGAUCUCGGUUUCGGGUGAAUGGUGCACCUUGCGGUGUUUACUAUUUAUUCGGACGAUUUUGUUGGUUCGUUCCUGGUUCUCUUAAUCGAGUGCCUUGAGUGGCCAACACGUUUACUUUGAAAAAAUUGGAGUGCUCAAAGCAGGCGCUACAGCCUGAACAUUAGUGCAUGGAAUAAUGGAAUAGGAUCUCGGUUCUAUUUCGUUGGCUUUCGGAGUCGAGGUAAUGAUUAAUAGGGACAGACGGGGGCAUUCGUACUGCGACGUUAGAGGUGAAAUUCUUGGAUCGUCGCAAGACGAACUACUGCGAAAGCAUUUGCCAAGAAUGUUUUCAUUAAUCAAGAACGAAAGUUAGAGGUUCGAAGGCGAUCAGAUACCGCCCUAGUUCUAACCAUAAACGAUGUCGACCGGCAAUCUGCUCUCGUUAAAUUAAUGACUGAGCAGGCGGCCUGCUGGAAACAAGAGUAUUUGGAUUCCAGGGGGAGUAUGGUUGCAAAGCUGAAACUUAAAAGAAUUGACGGAAGGGCACCACCAGGAGUGGAGCCUGCGGCUUAAUUUGACCCAACACGGG
rnacentral:rRNA from 1 species